CACAAAGGACUAAACAUCAUUUUAAUCCACACUAAUACAAAAAUGGCUUCACUGUCACUUGUGCUUAGAUACAUCAUCGUGUUAACUUUUUUCUUAAUCCUCGACUCCAAAGAAAUAUUUUCAUCACGACUAGUGAGAUCAUCCAAGGCUAAUGUAGCUCAGAUUAGCGCUGAUGAUUAUCCAUCUUCCGGUCGUAAUUCACCGGUACACGACCUUGGGUUCCCUGACUUUCCGUCUUUCCAGGAACCAAUAGUGACGCCUCAGCCUGAUUUGCCACUCCUUCCGCGGCCGCCAACAUUUCCCGAUCUUGAAAAGGGUAGGUUUCCUGUACCGGUUUGGCACUCUCUCCCUGAUUUUCCGCCCUUACCGUUCUUAGAUCAGCCCCCUCCUUCCGAACCAUUUGGUCCAAGAUUUGAUGAAUCCGAUAAUUGGUUGCCUUCUGUCCCAAGUAUCCCUCAAGGGUUUCCAUAAAUACAUGAUGACACUCAUUGAGGCCUAGCUUCUCACAUAUUACUUGAGGUUAAUUUCAAAGUUUUUGUAUCAGCUAUUAAUUUGGAAACUUAUGUAUGAUUCAAGGAAGUAAUAAAACCAGUUACAAAUUAUAUAGUUGGAAAAUAUUUGACUCUAAUAGUAAAUAUAUUUUCCUGUGCAUUAAAUCUGGCCUGCAUCCACAAUCAUGUUUAGUUGUGUAUUUGACAACUCUCAAGCAAUUCAUACAUGGUGUUGACGCGUUGUAGAUUGGAAAUGAUCUUUCUCAAUUUGUUUGACAGGUUAUAAAAAUGACAAAUAAGCCUUUUCUGUUGAAAACCUAAGACUUGGAAAUGUUGAAAAGAUAAGUAAAUAGAAAAACAGAGUUUACCAUGCUCGAUCUCUUGCAUUAUUCAUACAUUUGGCUUUCAAGUUAGGUUAUAUAUUAAGAAAAGCAAUACUCUCAACAUGUUGAUGUGCGAUACGGAUAUAACAUAUACGCUUCCAAAGUCUUCAUCGUCUUGUCUCCAAUUCCUAAGAGCACACCUUUCCGGACGUUGUUUGUUCUGACAUUGUAGUAGAAAAUGUAGAAUGGUUGGACCUCGUAUGACAACACGUGUGUGGGACCAUAAUGAUCUCACCAGCCUUGUUGGUGCCUGGGUAUUUUGUUGCUCUAAACAGAAUAUCACGCAGAGGAGGGAACACACAUCCAUAAAUCGAAACUUUGGAAUCAUAAGGUUCCCUCACGAUAGAAGCUAGCUUCCCAUUAUAUUCAAUCCAUCCCCAUAUGGAUAUUUGUGUAUAAACAGAUACUGUCAUUAGUACAAUAGUCCAUCUCUACAUUCAUGCAAUUUCUAAGGCAUCGCCAGUUAGUACAAACGUCUCUGUACCUCCACAAUAUCUAAAGCCUCGCUAGUAGAAACGUCUCUUUACCCAUAUAAUCUCCACAAAAGGCGUGCGUCGCUAGCACAAACCUUAAUCUCCCCAUGAAUCGUUGAUAGUAUAAAUGUCUAUAUAUCCCAGCAAUCUUCACUCAACAUGCCCAUGUGCUUAAAUAAAUCUUAUUUUUUAAGAUCUAACAUCAAAAUAUGUACACAAUAACUGGAUUCAUAACAUCAGUUGAAUUAUAAGCACCAUAGUAGAUAAAACCGUUGAUGCAUACUCCCACUGAUAUGGGUCUAUAUUGUCCCAUGGUGCCUUUAAUGUCUCUCCAGCCUUGACAUCCUCCAAAUGUUAACACCUUGUGCAGUACAUGGGUAGAUGGUCACAAAGAUUAAUUAUGGCGAUCUGUCGAACGCACAGACUUAUGCAAUGGAUAAAGCUCUUCACACUGAAAAAUUAAAAUCAAUUUUGCACAAAUAGAUAUACAAAAUAUUGGUAUUAUGUCAGUCACAAAUAUUUCAGUUUACCAUAUUCCAUUCUAGAUUUGACUUAUCUAAGUUUGACUGGCUUUAUCAACGAAAGAAGAACCCUGAUUUUGAUUAGGAGAUUUCUAGAUUUGUCGAUUUGGAUUUGUUGAAGUUAUAAAAGCAUAUAACUUUUAUCUUAUAUAAAGGCAAUGUUUUUAUUAUUUACAUCCACAUUUGAUGACUCUACUUGAAAAUUGUCAUUAAUAAAGAUUUAAGUUGACUAGUUAUUUGCUAAACAUAUUUAUAAAACAAUUCAAAAUGUAAUGGUUUUAUUACUAAAAACACGUAAUUUUAGCUUUGAUGAGCGAAACGGCACCUACGCUAUACGUUUUGUUGUGCGGAGCAUGAUUUGUCAAACAAGUUUUUGGUGAUUAAACAAUAAUAGUUGAAAUUCAUUGAGGAAGAAGGAGAAUAAUAAAACACUAAUUAAUCUUCCUUAUCACUCUUGUACGCGUGAAACAUACAAGAUUUACUGAACAUGAAAAUAUACUCUGUAUUUCAUUCAACUUGAGAACUGCUUACAGAGGCCACUCGCCUUAUAUACAAGAAGACAUAAGGAGACAUCUUUAACCUAAUGUUCACGUUAGCAUACCUCAGCAUCUAGGGUAUCAAAUCUAUUAAAGGUAAAGAGAGAAGAUGCUGGCGUGUUGGUGUAGCAAGCUGGUUUCUCCAUACUCAGGUAACGACAAGAGUGUGUGUUCUUCCUUUGACCCAGACACGCACUGUGCGUGCCAACGAUAGUGGAGAAACCUCAGUGGGCUUGAUGAGCUUAGCUAUGGCUCAUAUGUGUUUGGUCUAGUACACCCCCUCAAACUUGGAGUAGAAGGAAGAGAAACUCCAAGUUUGUCUCACAGCUUGAAGAACGGAUCUUGACUCAAGGACUUUGUAAAGACAUCUGCAAGCUGAAGAGAGGAUGGAAUAUGUUUGACCUCCAAAGCUUUCAGCGCCACUCUCUCUCGGACGUAGUGAUAGUCGAUAUCAAAGUGCUUCGUUCUCUUGUGAAACAUCGGAUUUUCUGUGAGACAUACGGCUGAUAAGUUGUCACAUAGCAGUAAGGGAAUUCUUUGUUGUUGAAGACCCGCUAUCCAAAGAAGGUUCUGUAACCACACUAUUUCAGAUGCUGCAGCGGACAUCGUCAUGUACUCUGCUUCAGUGGACGAUUUAGACACUGUCUCAUGACGUUUUUCGGACCAAGAGAUGACGUUAGAGCCAAGCAACGUACAGAAACCUCCUGUUGAACGUCUUGUAUCUUUGAAUCCCGCCCAAUCACUAUCACUGUAAGAUAGUAGGGUAGAAUCAGAGCUGGACCGGAUGCUAAUGCCCAUGUCGAUCGUACCCUUAACAUACCGAAGUAUUCUCUUCAACAAGCUAUAAUCCGACUGACUUGGUGCGUGCAUUCUUUGGCAAAUGAAGUUGAUUGCGAAGUGAAUGUCAGGCCGGGUGAGAGUAAGAUAUUGAAGUUUCCCGGCGAGACUUCAGAAGUGUGAAGGAUCGGGAAACACAUCAUCUUGGCCUGGAACUUUCUCUAGUCUAAGUGGCAGUGGAGUAGGCAUGGGAGCACAAUCUAGCAUGCCAACGGUGAUGAGAAGGUCAGUAGCAUAUUUAGCCUGAUUUAAGAGCAGACCUUCCGCAUAUUGAUGAACUUGAAUACCAAGAAAGUAGUGUAAAUCCCCCAUAUCCUUCAUCCUAAACCGCUUGUGAAGCUGAGUAAGAAGUUGUUCAAGUAGAUUCUCAUUGUUACCAGUGAGAAUUAUAUCGACAACAUAUAGAAGCAGGUAGAUGACAUCAGACCCUUUGUGAUAUAUAAACAGAGAAAGAUCGGGAAAGCUGCACUGGAACCCAAACUCCAAUAGGAAAUCACUAUACUUAUCAAACUAAGCACGUGGUGCUUGUCUUAAGCCAUAAAUGGCUUUCUUCAAAUGCCGGACAUAGUCAGGUCUCUCUGAGUCAACGAAACCCGGAGGCUGAGUCAUAUAAACUGUCUCUUUCAAGUCGCCGUGCAAGAACGCAUUCUGCACAUCAAGCUGUCGUAGAGACACUUCUUAGUUACUGCCACAUGUAGAACCGUUCUGAUUGUGGCAGUACGAACAACAAGACUGAAUGUCUCUAUGAAGUUAACUCCUUGCUCCUGUUCGUUCCCUCUUGCUACCAGACGAAUUCUUAAUCCUCUUACUGUAUCAUUUGCAUUUAUCUUUUUCUUAUAUACCCACUGACAGCUCAGUGGAUUCUGAUCUUCUUCAGGAGGAGUUAGCUCGAAUGUCCCAGUUUCUACCAUAUUAUCUACUUCAGUAUCCAUUGCUUUAGUCUAACCCGGAUGUUUCAGCGUAGAGUUGACUGAUUUGGGCUCAGCAAACUAAUCUUUUACAGUAAAUAGAGCAUACUUUGGAUUUGGUUUACUGAUACCUGCCUUGGCUCUUGUAGUCAUUGGAUGAACAGGUUGAGGUUGUUGAACUUCUUCUUCAUGUACUUCCGCCUGUUGAUUAUUGGUCAUUGUUUCAUCUGAUUCAGUCGCUGAAACAGAAGCUGGCGAUCCAGGGUGAGGAGGAGAUGGUACUGGUAGAACGACCUGAGGUGCAGUAGCUGUACCUUCAACAGUCUGUGGACAAUGUACAAGCUCUUCUUCAGUGUUUGGACUUAUCUGAGUAGAGUGUUGACGGAUCAGAGAGGCAUCUUGCCAAGCAUUGAGCAGGGCAGAGGAAGAUUUAGCAUGAUAGCUACUGUAUAUAUCACCGAAUGGAAAAGAGUUUUCAUCAAACAAUACAUGUCUGGUGAUGAAUACUCUCCCAGUAGGUGGAUAAUAACACCAAUAGCCUUUGUACUUCUCAUUAUAUCUAAGAAAUACAAAGACUAAGGACUUGGGAUCCAACUUAUGUUGCAUAUAAGGACGUAGAGAAGGAAAACACUUGUAACCAAAUACUCUCAACGCCGUAUACACAGGUUGUCUUUUAUUGAGCAUCUCAUAAGGACUUUUGUGAUCAGACAACACUGAAGAUGGUAAGAGAUUGAUCAGAAAGACAGAUGAGAAGAAAGCUUCGACCCAAAGAUGGUGAGGAACUUUCCCAUUGUACAUCAACUGUUUCUAUUCAUUCGUUGUAAGUUAUAGCAAUGGUCUUUUUUUCUCAAUCGAAUAGUUAAUUAAGAUCUUGAUUUGUUAUUACAGGGCAUCUGAUUGCAGCUAGGCUUCCAUGUAAAAACUGUAAGGCUAAUUUAUCUUAUAGAAGCAGCACAGGAGGAACAGUGAAAUGUCCUUGUUGUAGUUCCUGGCGUCCUAUGCCUAGUCUUAAAUCUCUGGUCUGUGGUGGAUGUAAUGCAACAAUCAUAUAUCAAAAGGAUGAUCGAUCUGUUAAAUGUUAUCCCUGCAAACACAUCACACAUCCACAGGUAAAGUCUCUCCCUUUUUAUAUUAUCAUUUGUAAGUUGAAUGAGUUGUCUGCAAUAUCUUCAUGAUGCCUAAUGUUACUUUUUUUUUUGUUUAGGAAACAAAUGAUGGGGAUAGUUCAUUUUACCAGUUUGUUCCUCUUCAGGUUAACGGGGUUGGUCCUUUUGAAGGUAACUGGGUUAAAUAUCAAGAAGCUCUCCUCUUCAAACUAACCCGGUUAUUCCUCCUCGUGUCAACCUGGUUAAUCCUCCUCAUGUCAACCUGGUUAAUCCUUUUAUAGUUAACCGGGUUGUUCCUCAAACUAACCCCCUUAUUCCCCAUCAAGUUAACCGCGUUUUUCAUCCUCAAACUAACCGGGUUAACCGGAGGAACCGUAAAGCUAAUGCAGAAACUGAAUCAACUGCAACUUCUCGUUUUACCGUGAGUUAUCUUUUGUUUCUCUUGCAAUGUACUAGCUAGGAUCUUGCUUUUAUAAAUAAUAAUAACGCUUUUUGCAGCCAAACCCUGAGAGUGAGAGCACAAGCGCCUUCGUAGCUGAUUAUGUUGCUCGACUUGUAAUCACCCACCUUUACUUUAUUUUUAUUUUUGUGGAAAUUCGAUACGUAUAGAAUUAUUUUACUCUAAUUUCAAUCUGUUACGGUAAAAGAUUCUCCAUUUCUAACGCAUUGUGCUUAUUGGUGUUUUAUUGGUCAGGUGAGGGAUUGUCCUCCUGGAAUGAGCGCAAACAAGAGAAAAGUAGAAGAAGACAAGACAGAACCAGAAAAAUAAGAAGACUCGUCUCUGAUCGAUUUAAAAAGUACUCUGUUGUACUUCACAGUUGAUCUUCUUAGUUUUGCACUUUUUGUUUCUUUUAGCUUUCCUCAUUGUUUCAUUAUGCAUUUUAGUGAUUUUUGCAGUCAAACUUGAUUUUAUCUAAAUUUAUUCAAUCUACCAUUUUUAACUGUUUGUACCUUUUAUGAUCUAUUCCAAAAGUAGUAACAGUUUAUAAAAAGAAGAAAUAGUAAAUGACGGGGUAAAAAUGAAAUUUCAAUUAUAUUCGCGUUUUCGUAAGAAAGAAGAAACGGUCAAAGAUUUAGUUUCAAAUGAAAAAAAAAAAGAAACGGUCAAAGUAACACUACUUCUUUUUUUUCCCGACGCGGAGAGAAACAAAAACCCUGAAGACGAAGACGAGGACAACGAUGACGGAAGAAAGGAAUAAUGGCAUGCAACCGCAAAUAGAGAGAAAACUUGAGGGUAAUAUGGUGAAAAUACAUGUAGAGAAGGAUCGUACCGUAAGUUGUGUGGACCGUGUCGUCAGCUUAGUGAUCUAGCGCUGAUCCGUUAAAAACUGUGUGCGUGCGUGCGGGUGUUCUCCGGUUUCAUCGUUGUCCCCCAGGGAAAACUAAUCUUCGAAUCAUUUUCUUGUCUUUCUCUGUCUCUCAUCUCUAAUCAUUUUUAUUUCAUUUUUUCCUUUUUCUUAUCCAAUCGUACAAUUUACAAGUUCCGAUAUUUCGACGUUUUUUUUUUAUUCCAUAAGAAAAAACUCGUGAAAUCACAAAAAUCUCAGCCGUUCAUUUGAGGUGGUAAACUCCAUCUCUUUUCGACCUUUCCUUUUUUUUUUUUUUUUCUUAAACCUUUUUAAUUAAUUAAUAUUUUAAUUUAAUCGAAAUUUAUGAGUUCCUUUUGCUGGUUAAGUUCGGUUGAGUUUUUGUAAUAUAUCUGUGUGUUCCUUGUGAUUCGGUUACUAGCUAGGUCAAUUAAUUCCCUCUCAUUAAUUUUCCCAGAUUUGGGUAUUUCUGUUUUUAACUGCGAAUUCAAUUGCUAAGCAUUAAUUAGGCAAAAACUUUGAAGCGCUCUCGUUUGCAAUAUUAGGUAAACAAAAUCUGCGAAAAUAAUAAUUAAUUUUAUUUCUUGUGAAAUUCUCAAACUCGUCUUCCUGUGAAUUUCUUUUUUUUUUUUUGGUUUUAUUCAGUUUGGUGUUGGUGUUGUUGAUCCACUGAAUUCAAUUAGGGCUAGGCCUUUUAAUUUGUCUAACGUCUGGAUAUUUUCCUAUAACAUCCUUGUCUUAUCUUUUGGUGUGUUUUUUUUUCUUUCUCAGUUUCGUUGGCUCUCAAUCGAAGAAACUUAGGCUUCUCUGUUGAGUGAUUUGAAUCCAUAUGGAGCAUCUCAGUGUUGCUCAAUCACAAUCUGAGAUCAACGAGGUUAGCUUUUCAUUGUUGAUUACUUUACUUAUCUGAUAUUGGAUAAUUGAAUCAAUUAAUCACCGUUUUUUGUUUUGUUUAUUAUUGUUAAUAACUCAAAACCAUCAAACCACAGUAUUUAGAUUGUAGAUUACCUGUUUAUAUACUUUUGGUUUUGUUCAUGGUAGAUUCGUAACAGUCAUAGAAUACAAUUAUUUUCCGGAUCUCGUUAAAACAUAAUCGUAGAUCUCUUUUAUCUUUAUUUGAUUCGUUCAUGUUGAAAUCUAGAUUGUUUUUUUCUCUGUUCAUCAUUCUUUUUGGUGUUUGUUUGAUCUGCUGAACACAGUGUGCGUGACUCUUUAUCAUAUUUCUUUGUUGGGGAUAAUUAAAAAGCAUAAAUCUGUAUAUGUUACAGGAUAUGUCUCUGAAGAAUCAUCAUCCACCAGACAAGGAUACGGACAAAGACACUAGCAUGGAACAACCUAGUAGUCCACGUCAUCGAAAGGUAAGAGUAGUAUUGUUAUUAUAUAUGUAAUAUGAUGCAGUUCUUAAAAGAUUAAAAUUUUAUUAAAACAGCUUUGAUCUUACAUGAUGUUUUUUUCUUUUUGUAUAAUGUCAAGGUUAUUGCUAGAUGGUUACCAGAUGAAGCACAGAGACCAAUCGUUGAUGAAGCUCCUGUUUUCUCUCCAUCAUUAGAGGUACUCAUUGCUUCUUGUUUUUUACCUUUUCGGUUUCUUCUUGUUCAUGUUUUGAUUUUGUCUUCGUUUGAUCUUGGGUGUUAUUUAUAUUAGGAGUUUGAAGAUACACUUGCAUAUAUAGAAAAAAUACGUCCAUUAGCAGAGCCAUAUGGUAUCUGUCGAAUCAUCCCGCCACCCACAUGGACGCCUCCUUGCCGUCUUAAGGAGAAGACUAUAUGGGAGCAUACCAAGUUCCCCACUCGGAUCCAGAACGUGGACCUGCUUCAGAACCGUGAACCCAUGAAGAAGAAACCAAAGAGCAGGAAACGCAAAAGGAGAAGAAACUCCAGGAUGGGUUCCUCUAGGAGACGAUCUGCUUCUGCUUCUGCUUCUGGUUCUUCUCCCUCUGAACCUGCUUCCUCUCCUGAGGCGGAGGAGAAGUUCGGCUUUAACUCUGGUUCAGACUUUACUCUGGAAGAGUUUGAGAAAUACGCUCAGCAUUUUAGAGAGGCUUACUUUGAGAAGAAAGACUCUGUUGGUGAAACGAAAUGGACACCGUCUGUGGAGGAUAUCGAAGGCGAGUACUGGCGGAUAGUUGAACAACCAACAGAUGAAGUUGAGGUAUAGAUAGAAACAGACCAUUUUUUUCACCACUUAACCAACAUACAUUUUAUAACUAAUCUAAGGCCAUUUUUUUUUAAUUGUUUCAGGUAUAUUAUGGAGCUGACUUGGAGAACGUGGUACUUGGAAGCGGGUUUUACAAGAAAGGGGAUAGAGAUAUUGAUCAGUACGUAGUCUCUGGCUGGAACUUGAAUAACUUACCGCGUCUCCCUGGCUCUGUUCUCUCUUUUGAGGAUUGCGAUAUCUCUGGUGUUCUAGUCCCAUGGCUCUAUGUUGGAAUGUGCUUUUCAUCAUUUUGUUGGGUAAGUACACUGUCACACUUUGAUUAGUUAAUGAGUUCUAUAACCCCAUUGAUGUCAGAUGCUUGAUCAUUUUAUUGGGUUUAACAGCAUGUGGAGGACCAUCAUCUGUAUUCACUAAAUUAUCAUCACUUUGGGGAGCCAAAAGUAUGGUAUGGUGUUCCAGGAAGCAAUGCAACAGCACUCGAAAAGACGAUGAGAAAACAUCUACCUGAUUUGUUUGAAGAGCAGCCUGAUCUACUUCAUGGCCUGGUUAGGACGAAAACAUUUAUUAGAUUUGUCUUUUUUUUUUUUUGAUGUUUAGAGACUAACUAUUCUAUUGGUUAUAGGUUACUCAAUUUUCUCCUUCAAUUCUAAAAGAUGAGGGAGUCCAGGUUUAUCGUGUGGUUCAGAAUGCAGGGGAGUACGUACUGACAUUCCCGAGGGCAUACCAUGCUGGAUUCAACUGCGGUUUCAACUGUGCAGAAGCGGUUAAUGUAGCUCCGGUUGAUUGGUUGGCUCAUGGACAGAACGCUGUGGAGCUUUACAGUAAAGAGACGAGGAAGACUUCUCUGUCUCAUGACAAACUUCUCCUUGGAGCAGCUUAUGAAGCUGUAAAGGCUCUUUGGGAACUCUCAGCUUCUUCCGUUGGAAAUGAAAACACGACAAACUUGAGAUGGAAGAGUUUCUGUGGGAAGAACGGAACACUUACCAACGCGGUCCAGGUAAUAGAAAAAACGGUGUUAUGUUACUUAAAGUAUGGUUUCUACUUUCUAAAAGCUGAUUUUGUUCUAAAACGUUUAUAGGCUCGGUUAAAGAUGGAAGAGGAAAGACUUGCAGAUAUUGGUAGGGAGUCUUUGAGCUUGGUGAAGAUGGAGAAGGACUUUGAUUCAAACUGUGAAAGGGAAUGCUUCUCAUGCUUUUAUGAUUUGCAUCUCUCUGCUUCUGGCUGCAAGUGCUCUCCUGAUGAAUACGCGUGUCUUAAACACUCGGACGAUCUGUGUUCAUGUGAAGAGAAGGAUAGAUUUGUCCUCCUCCGUUACACCAUGGAUGAGUUAAGCUCGUUGGUGAGAGCAUUGGAAGGGGAAUCAGAUGAUUUAAAGAUAUGGGCUUCCAAGGUGUUAGGUGUUCAACACAGUGAUGAAUAUCAAAAUAAGACAAUUUCAGUUACCAAGGAGGAGGAGAAUAAGCUAAAGGAAGGUUCGUUUGAUCUGAACAUCGACUUGGAGUUGGAUUAUCUGGAAAACCCUAAAGAAGAAGAAGUCAGCACCAGUGGCGAGAUAAACACUUCAGAGAACUUAAGUGCAUCGGUGGAGCCUAUAAACCUCGGUUUCUUGAUUUUUGGAAAGCUUUGGUGCAAUAAGCAUGCUAUUUUCCCAAAAGGUACAAACUUCGAAUAACCCUUUAGUUAAAUAUUAUUGACAUAAAUCAGAAAUCUGCUCAAAAGGUUGUUGAUGUUUUCGGUCUUUUUACAACAUUUACAGGAUUCACAAGUCGUGUCAAGUUCUACAACGUGCUUGAUCCAACAAGAAUGAGCUAUUACAUCUCUGAGGUUUUGGAUGCAGGACUCAUGGGCCCAUUGUUCAGGGUAUAAAGCUUUUUUCCCCCUAAAUAACAUUCUAUUAGAUACUUCAAAAGCAACAACAACACCUGACUUUUCUUUCCUCUGUUGUUGUUCAGGUUACUCUGGAAGAAUCUCCAGACGAGAGCUUCUUCAAUGUCUCGGCCCAACAAUGCUGGGAGAUGGUGUUGCAGCGAGUUAAACACACAUCCACAAAUCUUGGUCUUACUACUUUACCGCGGCUUGAAAGUAUUAACGGGCUUCAAAUGUUUGGUCUCCUCUCGCAGUCUACAGUUCAGGUAAAACAUUAAGUCCAACCCUUUCACUCAAAACGUAUCCAUGAUCUUUUACUGUGUUACACAACUUGAUCUUUCUCUUCAGGCCAUUGAAGCUCUUGACCCGAACCAUAGACUCAUCGAGUACUGGAACCACAAGAACCAAACUCAAUCUGAAUCAAAAGAUCACUUCAUAUCAUCAAACUGCUCCGUGAGUCUUACCAAAGGAAAACUUUUCGGAGUGGAUUUGAUGUAAAAGAAGAAGCUCAAACAGCAACAAGCACUUUACCAACUCAGAGCAACCAACAGUGACUUACCGUCUGGAUAGAUAGAAGAAGUUUCUUUCUGAUUCUUUUCUUUUCUUGGGAGCAUUUUAUUCAGAAUCUUUUGUUCGUUUUCCCUCAGCAAACUUUCAGUAAACAAAUAACCUAACCUUAGCGUUAGAAGUGUAAAACUAGGAAAAAAAAUGUUCGAUUCUUUCGCUAAUGCCAAUAAUACAAAAUUCUUCAAUUCUUCGUAUUGCUCAACGUGGAAACUGCAGAAUUUAACUGUACUAGACAAAUAUUUUUCUUAAUCAUUUAGGGGCCAAAUAAUACAUACAUAUUAACCACUGAUAUUUUGGGGUGAUAGGCUAAUGCCCGAUUAGUUGGCACACCAUAUUUUAUUUUCUUUGUUUUUGUGAUUGACCAACAGCUAAGGACAUUAAGUUUAAUCUGUAGCGACUUCCUUUGUCCAGAGGGGAGAAGGGUGGUUUAUGCUGUUGCUGGAGCUUUGUAAGUGUAAACCCUGGAACCUUACUGGUGCUGUUGAGCUUCACAUGACCCCUGAUUAUCAAUGAAAAGCCACUGGUACUUGAAGUACUGAUUCUAUAACAAGUAUGGUACGUUAUUCCUUUACUUUGGAUUUGGAAAAAAAGAAAAAAAAAUCUUUUUAGAUAUUGAGCAACAUAUAUACAAACUAAAGAUAUUACGCCAUGGCCCAAGAUUGGUUAAGAAACUCUUUUUAGAUAUGAGCACACUUUGAGGUAUAAAUUCAAGGUCACGGAACGUAUUGUCAUGUCCAGAUUGGUUACCAAAGAAGAAUAUUCCUCUACCACGUGUCACGUGUGUAGACAAGAAGAUGAACAAACGAUGUUUGGGAAGAAAACUCUUUGAUAAGUCACCCACAGAUGGUUGUUUUGGUUCCUUGAGACAUAAAUGGAAUCGACCUAUUUAAUAUGUGGUGCUGAUUCUUUAGCCAGUUUUUGGCUUUACUGUACCCUAAAUUGUUCUAACAAAUUUGGCUUGGGUUGCACGUCAAUAGAAAAGUAUGUCAUCAAAUUAAAUUGAUAGUCUAUGAUAAUGACUUAUGAAGGUAUGAGAACCAAUUAAACAACUUAAAGAUACUAGUACGCAACUGCGCACCAUUUAAAUUUUAACUUGCAUGUAUGUGAUCAGAGCUCGUCUUAGGUUUUUUAAGGCCACAAGCCCAAGAUAAAAAAAUAGCUAAAAAAAUGAAAAAAAAAUCGCAUCCUAGGAGAUUCGAAUUCGGGACGGUUUUUAUAAAUUUGUGGCAGGUUUAAUACUUAAUAAAAUGGUGGCCGGAAGCAUGGACUUCAUUCGCUUGGGCCCAAAACCGGCUCUGUAUGUGACUGCAUCAAAGAGCAUAAGCAUAUAAAAAUUAAUACUAUAUGUAAUAAUAAUAAAACAUUUGUUGUUGACAAAGAGAGAACAGUGCUAACAAAUUGUUUACGGUACAUAAAGUUUUCACAGUUAGAAUCUAUAAAAAAAUAAAUAAAGAAGAAAGAGAUCGCUUCUGUUUCAGUUUUCUGAAUUGUUAUGAAAAUCAAAUAUAAUGUUGUUUGACAAGGUUAGGUUUGGUGUUGGUUCUUAGGAAAAUUUUCAAUUUUAUUUAUGAAUCUAGAAAAAUUGAAAUCUAAUCAUGUUUUUUUUUUCUUUUCUGUUCGAUAUGGGUUUGGUUGUAAUAUAUAAGACCAUAUAGUGUGUGCCCGUUGACCCAGUUGGGUGGGAGUGGGAUACACAGGUGGAAUUAUCUCGAGUUGAUCCUGGUCAAAACACUCGUAGUUGACAUGACGUUUGACUUUUGAUGUUAGCAUAUGCUUUGGUGGAAAGUAGGAACACAAUGCAAAAUAUAUAACGAAGAUUUUACAAUCGUCAACAACUUAAAUUCAAACCUAUAAAUUUGAAACUUCAUGAAUCCUAUGAUCGCAAAAAGGACUAAACAUCAUUUUAAUCCACACUAAUACAAAAAUGGCUUCACUUUCACUUGUGCUUAGAUACAUCAUCGUGUUAACUUUUUUUUUGAUUCUCGACUCCAAAGAGAUAUUUUCAUCACGACUAGUGAGAUCAUCCAAGGCUAAUGUAGCUCAGAUUAGCGCUGAUGAUGAUCCAUCUUCCGGUCGUAAUUCACCGGUACAUGACCUUGGGUUCCCUGACUUUCCGUCUUUCCAGGAACCAAUAGUGACGCCUCAGCCUGAUUUGCCUCUCCUUCCGCCGCCGCCAACAUUUCCCGAUCUUGAAAAGGGGAGGUUUCCUGUACCGGUUUGGCACUCUCUCCCUGAUUUUCCGCCCUUACCGUUCUUAGAUCAGCCCCCUCCUCCCGAACCAUUUGGUCCAAGAUUUGAUGAAUCCGAUAAUUGGCUGCCUUCUGUCCCAAGUAUCCCUCAAGGGUUUCCAUAAAUACAUGAUGACACUCAUUGAAGCCUCGCUUCCCACAUAUUACUUGAGGUUGAUUUCAAAGUUUUUGUAUCAGCUAAUAAUUUGGAAACUUAUGUAUGAUUCAAGCAAGUAAUAAAACUAGUUACAAAUUAUAUAGUUGGAAAAUAUUUGACUCUACAGUAAAUAUAUUUUCCUGUCCACAAUCAUGUUUAGUUGUGUAUUUGACAACUCUCAAGCUAUUCAUACAUGGUGUGUCGUGUUGUAAAUUGGAAAUGAUCUUUCUCAAUUUGACCGGUUAUAAAAAUGACAAA
rnacentral:lncRNA from 1 species